rnacentral:tRNA from 1 species
GGUUCUGGCUCAGCGGUAGAACACUCGCCUCACACAUGCGAGGUCCUGGGUUCGAUCCUCAGCACCA